rnacentral:ncRNA from 1 species
AUAAAAUAAUUAUGUUUUUGGAAAUUUAUUAUAAAUUUAUUUUACAUAUAAAUUUUAGUGUGUAAUUUUAAUUAUUUAAAUAAUAAUUAAUUUAAAUUUUGUGUAGUAAUUAAUAUUAAAAAUUUAAGAAAUUAAGAUUUAGUAAUAUAAAAAUUAAUAACUAAUUUUGUGCCAGCAGUUGCGGUUAAACAAAGAUUAAAUUAAAUUAUUUCAGUUUAUAAUAAAUAAAUUUAUUAUUAAAAUAAAUAUUAAAUUAUUAAGUGAAAUUUUAAUUUAAUUAAAUUUUAUUUAAUGAUUAUGAUUUAAUAAAUUUUAAUAUAAACUAGGAUUAGAUACCCUAUUAUUAAAAAUUUAAUUUAUAAUACUAAAAUAGUAAAUAAUAAUUUAUUGAAACUUAAAUAAUAUGGCGGUAUUUUAGUUCAUUUAGAGGAAUCUGUCUAAUAAUUGAUAAUCCACGAAUAAAUUUACUUAAUUUAUAAUUUUGUAUAUCAUUGUUAAAAAAAUAUUUUUUAUAAAAAAUAAUAUUUUAAUUUUAAUAUAAAAGUUAAAUCAGAUCAAGAUGCAGAAUAUAAUUAAGAAUAUGAUGGAUUACAAAAAAUAUAUUUAAAUGAAUAAUUUUAUUGUAAGAUAAAUUUGAAGGUGGAUUUAAAUGUAAUUUUAAUUAGUUUAUUAAAAUGAUUAAUAAUUAAAAUAUGUACAUAUUGCCCGUCACUUUCAUUUAAAAAUUGAAAUAAGUCGUAACAAAGUAGAGGUACUGGAAAGUGUUUCUAGAAAGA